rnacentral:rRNA from 1 species
GAUGAACGCUGGCGGCGUGCCUAAUACAUGCAAGUCGAGCGAACAGAUAAGGAGCUUGCUCCUUUGACGUUAGCGGCGGACGGGUGAGUAACACGUGGGUAACCUACCUAUAAGACUGGGAUAACUUCGGGAAACCGGAGCUAAUACCGGAUAACAUUUGGAACCGCAUGGUUCUAAAGUGAAAGAUGGUUUUGCUAUCACUUAUAGAUGGACCCGCGCCGUAUUAGCUAGUUGGUAAGGUAACGGCUUACCAAGGCGACGAUACGUAGCCGACCUGAGAGGGUGAUCGGCCACACUGGAACUGAGACACGGUCCAGACUCCUACGGGAGGCAGCAGUAGGGAAUCUUCCGCAAUGGGCGAAAGCCUGACGGAGCAACGCCGCGUGAGUGAUGAAGGGUUUCGGCUCGUAAAACUCUGUUAUUAGGGAAGAACAAACGUGUAAGUAACUGUGCACGUCUUGACGGUACCUAAUCAGAAAGCCACGGCCAACUACGUG